rnacentral:rRNA from 1 species
CAGUCGCCGCGGGAAUACGAAGGGGGCUAGCGUUGUUCGGAUUUACUGGGCGUAAAGCGCACGUAGGCGGAUCGAUCAGUCGGGGGUGAAAUCCCAGAGCUCAACUCUGGAACUGCCUUUGAUACUGUCGAUCUGGAGUAUGGAAGAGGUGAGUGGAAUUCCGAGUGUAGAGGUGAAAUUCGUAGAUAUUCGGAGGAACACCAGUGGCGAAGGCGGCUCACUGGUCCAUUACUGACGCUGGGGUGCGAAAGCGUGGGGAGCAAACAGGAUUAGAUACCCCAGUAGUCCCUGUCUCUUAUAA